AGUGAAUAGAUACCCCGGUAGUCCACGCGGUAAACGAUGAGCACUAGACGCCGGGGGUGACUUUCGGUGUCGCAGCUAAACGCGCUAAGUGCUCCGCCUGGGGAGGUACGGCCGCAAGGUUAGAAACUCAAAGGAAUUGACGGGGGCCCGGCACAAGCGGUGGAGCAUGUGGUUUAAAUUCGAUGCAACGCGAAGAACCUUACCUGGCCUUGACAUCCGGGGAAUCGCCAGAGAUGGCGAGUGCCGCAAGGAGCCCCGAGACAGGUGCUGCAUGGCUGUCGUCAGCUCGUGUCGUGAGAUGUUGGGUUAAGUCCCGCAACGAGCGCAACCCUUGUCCCUGGUUGCCAGCAUUUUGGAUGGGAACUCCAGGGAGACUGCCGGUGAUAAACCGGAGGAAGGUGGGGAUGACGUCAAGUCCUCAUGGCCCUUAUGGCCAGGGCCACACACGUGCUACAAUGGG
rnacentral:rRNA from 1 species